CCUACUGCGAAAUAAACAGAAUACAGAACAGAGUGCCGUAGCAAAUUAUUCUUCUCCGAACGAAACUAAAUUAAUCACACGGACUACUACGGAAGAAGAAACUAUGAUUAGACACGUGAACAAUGCCACGAUUGAGAAGCAGCUCUUUAUAAACCUACGGCUAAUUUCAGUGUUUCUCAACUAUAGUAGUAGUUCAUUGGAACUACCCUGCAUCGUUUCCUGCAGCCUCUGUUCCCUGAGGAUGAAGAACUGUUGUGCUGACUUUUGGUACGAAAGGCUCUCGCAAGAAUCGUUAAGUAAAAUAAUCCGAAAAAGUCACACAAGUGUUUUGUGGGAAAUCGGGACGGAAAUGGCUAAAUAACUAGCGUUUCAUCUUAAAUGAAUUCUAAGAAAUCCAAUAGCCGUGAUCAGACCGCAAGUUCGGUAACGUACCCGUAGUCUAUUUACAUACUCUGUUUUCGCGUUGCUAUAAAAUACGUUCAUAAAUGAAGUUGCUAUUAUAAACGGCAGCAAACGCAUAGAGGGAUCUAAAUAGAUGCUAGCUAUUCAGUUUAUGUGGUCCCUCAUUCAAAGACGACUUAAAGUG